GAUGCGAUGUCCACGAAGUAACAUUGUUUACCAAUCGGUUUAAACGGUAAAUUUUCGAUAAACUCCACGAAGAAUUCGGAUGUCACCUACUGCACCUACGACCGACCGCGCGCGGUGACAGGGACCAGUCCUCUUAAGUAGGGCCAUGAUGCAAAUGGGUUUCAUGUCACUG